rnacentral:tRNA from 1 species
GGCUUCGUAGCUCAGCUGGUAAAGCGCUUGCCGCGUAGAGGCAUGGUGUUUCUGUCGCUGGUUCGAAUCCAGCCGAAGCCC